rnacentral:rRNA from 1 species
GAUGAACGCUGGCGGCGUGCCUAAUACAUGCAAGUCGAGCGAACGGACGAGAAGCUUGCUUCUCUGAUGUUAGCGGCGGACGGGUGAGUAACACGUGGAUAACCUACCUAUAAGACUGGGAUAACUUCGGGAAACCGGAGCUAAUACCGGAUAAUAUUUUGAACCGCAUGGUUCAAAAGUGAAAGACGGUCUUGCUGUCACUUAUAGAUGGAUCCGCGCUACAUUAGCUAGUUGGUAAGGUAACGGCUUACCAAGGCAACGAUGCAUAGCCGACCUGAGAGGGUGAUCGGCCACACUGGAACUGAGACACGGUCCAGACUCCUACGGGAGGCAGCAGUAGGGAAUCUUCCGCAAUGGGCGAAAGCCUGACGGAGCAACGCCGCGUGAGUGAUGAAGGUCUUCGGAUCGUAAAACUCUGUUAUUAGGGAAGAACAUAUGUGUAAGUAACUGUGCACAUCUUGACGGUACCUAAUCAGAAAGCCACGGCUAACUACGUG